AGGGUUGUAGCUCAGUGGUAGAGAGUCUGUUUUGCAUGCCAGAGGUCCCAGGUUCAAUCACCGGCGUCUCCA